UGUGAAAGAGGAGGAUGUUACAAUACGAAAAGAAGUAGAGGGUGAGGCUGUUACCGUGAAAGAAGAAGAGAAAGACGCGUUCAGAGUGAAAGAAGAGGAGGGUGUUACAGUAAAAGAGGAUGAUGUAGUUUUUGGAGGGGGAGAUGACUGUCACAUCGGAGGAAGAAGAGGAGGUUGGAGAUCUGCUUAACACCAGAGAGAGACGGGACUAUGUUGGGUCCUCUGGGGAGCCUCAACAACCUCAUGAUGCUGAAGAGGCAGAGAAGAGUCUCUCCAGAUCAGAACAUCUCAAGAAACACCCACACUUCAAAAUGUAGCGAUCUGUUUUCUACAAGUUGUGCUCUAACCAGGGAUGUACACAUUAUUCCCAUAUUCCGUGUGGUUUUUGAGUUAGUUUUAACAGCACGUGCAACCUCAUCUCCCUUCUCUCGCACAAAUUAUUUUGAAAUGACAUUUCCAUGUGUUUUUUGAGUUGUGUUAGUUUUUAAAACAAGCACCUUUUAAAAUGCUGUUGUUUUGACAAGUAGCAAUAAAUCACUGAUAUCAAUUAGGGGGAAAUCAGGCUGUACGUGCUGUACAAACUCACUAGAUUUGAAAACUCUCGUCCCCUUGGAACGAGCCCAAACAAAACUAAUCUCAAUACAAAAAAACGUGCAGUCAAAAUAAAUUGUGACACAUGGCAACGCACUGGCUAAACGCAAAACACAAAACUUUUUGACUGCCCACCCUUGAUAAAAAUCAGCAAGCAAGUUGUCCUUACCACAGACAUGUCUGAUUUCAAGAGGACUCCUGCAAUAUCCGUAGUAACUGUACGUGCUGUACAGCCUGAUUUCCCCCUAAUCGAUAUCAGUGAUUUAUUGCUACUUGUCAAAACAACAGCAUUUUAAAAGGUGCUUGUUUUAAAAAUUACAAGUAAUAUUAUUAUUGUGGCAGAUGUUUGUGUGUAUAGCCCAUUUUAUGUUUAGUUUUUCAAUUGAUCUGUUUCUGCAUGUUGGUUAUUGAUUUGGACACAUUAAAACUGAAAGUUACUACGGAUAUUGCAGGAGUCCUCUUGAAAUCAGACAUGUCUGUGAUAAGGACAACUUGCUUGCUGAUUUUUAUCAAGGGUGGGCAGUCAAAAAGUUUUGUGUUUUGCGUUUAGCCAGUGCGUUGCCAUGUGUCACAAUUUAUUUUGACUGCACGUUUUUUUGUAUUGAGAUUAGUUUUGUUUGGGCUCGUUCCAAGGGGACGAGAGUUUUCAAAUCUAGUGAGUUUUAGGAAGACGAGAGUUCUAGAAUGUUGACAGUAGACACUGUGUUUAUAUUGGUGAAGCAUUGUAGUUGAUUAUAAUGUGAAAUGGAAAUUGUUUUCUGUUGGUGGUGAGCAAACUUGUCCAACAAAAAUAUAGGAUAUAAUUGUUGUCUUAAGGGGGAAGGUGUUACAGGCUUUGGUUUUGAGGUUGGACUUUAGCACGUAUAGCUCAUUAGCAUGUAGGGAGAACCGAUUGGUGUCACCUUGUUAGUCAGUAUGUGCUACACCUGUGCUGGCGUGUCCAUCUCGUUAGUAGGAAGGUGUUUUUCCUGAGCUGGUCCAGGUUUUAUUUAAGAGUGUCUGGCCCAGUGCUCCAGGUGUCUUCAUAGAUGUGGAGAGUCAACACCUUUAGUUGCUCCAUUUUUUGGUUUGCUUCCUGUCUUAGUUUGGUGUGGCUUUUUCUUUUUUUUUGCCUCUUCUUGGGCAGAUUUAGUGGGUCUCAUGGUGGGUGUCUUUUAGGUCCCAGUUGUUGUUACUAGAAAACUUUCAGUGGACACCCUCAGUGUCUUUCAGAGCCACUCCUAAAACCUGUUUAGUUUUGGUUGUUGUUAGUUCCCUCUUCUGUUUGAGGGACAUUUUUGGUUUUCUUGCUGGAGAAAGUAACAUCAAACAAUGAAGACAAGAUAUUUUGGGUUGGAUAUUGCAGUGAAUUGUUAAUAUUUUAAAUCGAUGACAUUUACUUAGAAUGCUCAUUAGUCUUCCAGUUUAGUUUCAGUUAUUCUGUUUCUCUUAUGUUUGUAUUAAAUAUGUUUAUUUUCAUUGUUUUUUUCCUGUGAAGCCAUUGUGUUGCAUCCAUGUCUGAAAUGUGCUGCAUAAAUAAAGCUUGAUUUAAACAUUA